AUGGACGACGGCGGGAUCCAGGAGGAGGAGCAGCCGCCGUCGGCGCGGCCGCUCAGGCCGAGGCGAUCGGGGGGCAGCUCGCGGUGGGUGGACGCCAGCGAGGUCGACUCGUCCGAGUCCCCGCACUGGUCGCUCGAGGACGAGCAGGAGCCCUGGGCCCUCUCGGCCGCCGACGAGGCCGAGGUCCUCUGCGCCACGGGAGGGGCCCUGCUCUCGCGGAGGAGCUCCUCCGCGUUUCGCCGGAGGCUGGGGAAGCGGCCCAAGAGGGCCGACUCCCUCGACGUCGAGGCCAUGAACGUGCGCGGCGCGCAUGGCCACAGCGCCCAGGAUAUAUCGUUGAUGGGCACCGUCGCAAUGGCAUUUCAAACCCUCGGAGUUGUUUAUGGUGACAUGGGUACGAGCCCUCUCUAUGUCUUCAGCGAUGUGUUCAGCAAGGUCCCCAUCAAGUCAGAGGUGGAGAUCCUUGGAGCGCUUUCGCUGGUCAUGUACACGAUAGCGUUGAUCCCUUUUGCGAAAUACGUAUUCAUAGUCCUGAAAGCCAAUGACAAUGGCGAAGGGGGCACGUUUGCAUUAUAUUCGUUGAUUUGCAGGUAUGCAAAAGUCAGCCUGUUACCGAAUCAGCAGCGUGUGGAUGAAAAUAUUUCUAGUUUUAGGCUUAAGUUACCUACUCCUGAGCUUGAACGUGCUCUGCUUGUCAAAGACUACCUAGAAAAGAAGCCACUCUACAAAAAUAUUCUCCUCUUCUUGGUUCUGAUGGGGACUUCCAUGGUGAUUGGAGAUGGCAUCCUCACUCCGUCAAUGUCAGUUAUGUCUGCUGUCAGUGGUCUCCAGGGUCAAGUUGCUGGAUUUGAUGCAGAUGCUGUUGUAAUUGUUUCAAUCCUAGUUCUUGUGCUAUUAUUCAGUGUCCAGAGCUUUGGAACUGGCAAAGUUGGAAUCAUGUUCGCUCCUGUUUUGGCUUUGUGGUUUCUUAAUUUGGGCUCCAUUGGAAUAUACAACAUAAUUAAGUAUGACACGUCAGUAGUGAGAGCUCUCAAUCCAAUGUACAUCUAUUAUUUUUUCAAGAUGAACGGCAUAAAGGCAUGGUCAGCUCUUGGUGGUUGUGUCUUGUGCAUCACAGGAGCUGAAGCAAUGUUUGCUGAUCUGGGCCAUUUCACUGUCAAAUCAAUACAGCUAGCAUUCACUGCUGUGGUAUUCCCUUGCCUGCUUAUUGCAUACAUGGGCCAAGCUGCAUAUUUGAUGAAGCAUCCACUUGCCGUAGAAAGGAUAUUUUAUGAUUCUGUACCAGAAGUUCUGUUCUGGCCAGUAUUUGUGAUUGCUACACUUGCUGCUAUGAUUGCCAGCCAAGCUAUGAUAUCUGCAACCUUCUCUUGCAUAAAGCAGGCUAUGGCACUUGGUUGCUUUCCUAGGAUCAAAAUAAUCCAUACCUCCAAGAAAGUCAUGGGUCAGAUUUACAUACCUGUGAUGAAUUGGUUUCUCAUGAUCAUGUGCAUCAUCAUCGUGGCCACUUUCAGGAGUACGAACGAUAUUGCCAAUGCAUAUGGCAUUGCUGAAGUUGGAGUCAUGAUGGUCAGUACUGCACUGGUAACCUUGGUGAUGCUUCUUAUAUGGCAAACCAAUCUCGUGUUGAAAUACCAGAGUGAGAUGCGUGGGAAGAUAUCCCUGGACUUUAUUCUUGACCUGGGAUCAACACUUGGCACAGUAAGAGUUCCAGGCAUUGGACUUGUGUACAAUGAGCUGGUCCAGGGAAUCCCAUCGAUCUUUGGUCAUCUGUUGAUCACACUGCCAGCAAUGCACUCCACAAUCGUUUUUGUUUGCAUCAAAUAUGUUCCUGUCCCAUAUGUGCCGCUUGAAGAAAGGUUCUUGUUCAGAAGGGUUGGCCAGAAGGACUACCACAUGUUCCGUUGUGUUGCACGGUAUGGCUACAAGGAUGUCAGGAAAGAGGACCAUGGCUCAUUUGAGCAUCUCUUGGUUGAAAGCCUAGAGAGAUUUCUGAGGAGGGAGGCCCAGGAACUCGCGCUCGAGGUGAGCACAAUGGAGGCAGAGCGUGAUGAUGUGUCUGAAGUGUCCGAGAUCGUUCCAUCAUCUCCUGCUACUGCUGCUGAGGAUCUGCACACUCCACUGCUUUCUGAUCAGAGACCGGGCGAUGACAGUCGAAUGUUGGGCAUGGAAGGCAGCGUUCCUUUGCUCCCCUCUAGCUCCAUGUCCGCAGAAGAAGACCCCAGCUUAGAGUACGAGCUCGCGGCACUGAGGGAAGCCAUGGCAUCUGGGUUCACAUAUCUCUUAGCACAUGGCGAUGUGAGGGCGAGGAAGCAAUCAUUCUUCACGAAGAAGUUCAUCAUCAACUAUUUCUACGCUUUCCUGAGGAGGAACUGCAGGGGUGGCACCGCAACCUUGAAGAUGCCUCACUCGAACAUCAUGCGUGUGGGGAUGACAUACAUGGUCUGA
rnacentral:rRNA from 1 species